rnacentral:rRNA from 1 species
UAGGGAAUAUUGGACAAUGGGGGCAACCCUGAUCCAGCCAUGCCGCGUGAGUGAAGAAGGCCCUCGGGUUGUAAAGCUCUUUUGUCCGGAAAGAAAAGCAUUCGGUGAAUACCCGGAUGUUCUGACGGUACCGGAAGAAUAAGCACCGGCUAACUUCGUGCCAGCAGCCGCGGUAAUACGAAGGGUGCAAGCGUUACUCGGAAUUACUGGGCGUAAAGCGUGCGUAGGUGGUUGUUUAAGUCUGAUGUGAAAGCCCUGGGCUCAACCUGGGAAUGGCAUUGGAAACUGGGCAGCUAGAGUGCGGUAGAGGGUAGUGGAAUUCCCGGUGCAGCAGUGAAAUGCGUAGAGAUCGGGAGGAACAUCGGUGGCGAAGGCGACUGCCUGGACCAGCACUGACACUGAGGCACGAAAGCGUGGGGA